rnacentral:misc_RNA from 1 species
GGAAAGAGAGGGAAGAGCAAAGAACGCAUGGCAGAGAUCUGGAACCCUAAAUUAGGGACUGGUACGAUGAGCGUAGAACUGAUGAAACGCCGGCGUUUUCGCCGGUGAAAAGCUUGUCUUUAAGUAAAGCGGGAUAGAAUGGUAAUUACAGAGUUGAAUUAAGGGCAGUAUUGAUGAAGAUUGCAGAUUUUGGAGAUGGAAUUUCAGAAACAGAGGAAGAUAGAUGGAAAGGAAAAUGCUGAAGUUAG